rnacentral:rRNA from 1 species
CAAUAGCGUAUAUUUAAGUUGUUGCAGUUAAAAAGCUCGUAGUUGGAUUUCUGGUGGGAGCGAUCGGUCUGGCGCUUAGCGCGAGUACUUGCAUCGUCUCCGGCCAUCCUUGGGGAGAGUCUGUCUGGCAUUAGGUUGUCGGGCAGAGGAUCCUCAUCGUUUACUGUGAAAAAAUUAGAGUGUUCAAAGCAGGCUUAUGCCGUUGAAUAUAUUAGCAUGGAAUAAUAAGAUAGGACUUUGGUACUAUUUUGUUGGUUUGCGCACCAAAGUAAUGAUUAAUAGGGACAGUUGGGGGUAUUCGUAUUCCGUUGUCAGAGGUGAAAUUCUUGGAUUUACGGAAGACGAACUACUGCGAAAGCAUUUACCAAGGAUGUUUUCAUUA